rnacentral:rRNA from 1 species
AUUGAACGCUGGCGGCAUGCCUAACACAUGCAAGUCGAACGGAGGUAGGGGCAACUCUACUUCAGUGGCGGACGGGUGAGGAAUGCGUCGGAAUCUACCCUAUGGUGGGGGAUAACACAGGGAAACUUGUGCUAAUACCGCAUAAUGUCGAGAGACCAAAGCAGGGGACCGCAAGGCCUUGCGCGAAAGGAUGAGCCGACGCCCGAUUAGCUAGUUGGUAGGGUAAUGGCCUACCAAGGCGACGAUCGGUAGCUGGUCUGAGAGGAUGAUCAGCCACACUGGGACUGAGACACGGCCCAGACUCCUACGGGAGGCAGCAGUGGGGAAUAUUGGACAAUGGGCGCAAGCCUGAUCCAGCAAUGCCGCGUGUGUGAAGAAGGCCUGCGGGUUGUAAAGCAC